rnacentral:misc_RNA from 1 species
GAUGAAGAACGUAGCAAAAUGCGAUAAGUAAUGUGAAUUGCAGAAUUCAGUGAAUCAUCGAAUCUUUGAACGCACAUUGCGCCCGCUGGUAUUCCGGCGGGCAUGCCUGUUCGAGCGUCAUUUCAACCCUCAAGCCCCCGGGUUUGGUGUUGGGGAUCGGCUCUGCCCUUCUGGGCGGUGCCGCCCCCGAAAUACAUUGGCGGUCUCGCUGCAGCCUCCAUUGCGUAGUAGCUAACACCUCGCAACUGGAACGUGGCGCGGCCAUGCCGUAAAACCCCAACUUCUGAAUGUUGACCUCGGAUCAGGUAGGAAUACCCGCUGAACUUAAGCAUAUCAAUAAGCGGAGGA